rnacentral:rRNA from 1 species
GACGAACGCUGGCGGCGUGCUUAACACAUGCAAGUCGAACGGAAAGGCCCCUUCGGGGGUACGUCGAGUGGCGAACGGGUGAGUAACACGUGGGCAACCUGCCCUCAGCUUCGGGAUAACACUUGGAAACAGGUGCUAAUACCGGAUAAUAACUUGUCAUCGCAUGGUGGUGGGUUCAAAGUUUUUCGGCUGAGGAUGGGCCCGCGGCCUAUCAGCUUGUUGGUGGGGUAAUGGCCUACCAAGGCGACGACGGGUAGCCGGCCUGAGA